UAUCUGCUUGUCAUUCUCUAUCCUGUUACUCUGCUUUCUUUUUCUUCAAAGCACUGACUACGCUUCCACCCCAACAUAAUACAUAACUUUUUGUUUAUUUUCUACCUCCCUUUAUUAGAAUUAAGCUCUUAAAGGGUGGGAUCUUGUGUGUUUUGUUCAUUGCUGUAGUCCCAUAGCUUAGAACAGAUUCUGACACAUAAUGAGCACUUAGCAUGUAUUUGCUGAAUAAAUGAAUGUUUUAAUGAGUGUUUUGUUAUCAGCUGUAUCCAAACCUGGUCUUGAUUUCAUAUAGGCCCUACGACAUGAUAGGACACCAAAACUUUUGGUACUGUUGACAUGGACAACAAGUGGGGAGAUGAGAAAGGGAAGAAGAUGACCAAGACCACGCUAAUAUAUUAUGUUUUUUGUUCAUAGUUAAAAAGAUACCACAAAAUCAUUCAUAGUAUAGUAAAGAAUAGCCGAGAGACUGUGAUUUGGAUCCUGGACCACUCGCCUAUUUUCAGAAUAAAAUGAGAUAACUUCUUAAUUUUUUUUAUGUCACAUUUUCAUCCUCUGCAACAUUAAAACAAUGUUACAUAACCUAAGAGGAGCCCGUGGGUGGUCCAAAUGGAUAAGCGCUGGACUACUAACUGAAAGGUUGACAGGUCAAACCUAGCCAGAGGUACUUCGGAAGAUAGGCCUGCUGAUCUGCUUUCAAAAGGUCACAGCCUUAAAAAUCCUUUGGAGUGUGAUUCUACUCUGCACGCUUAGAGUUGCCAUAAGUCAGGACUGACUCGACAGCAACUAACAACAACAACCUAACCUUUGAGUUUAGAAGGAUAGAAAGGGCCUAGCGCAUAGUAGCUGGUCAGUAAAUGUUAGGUAUCAUCGCCAUCAUCGUCAUCAUUGUCCAGGGGUUGGCAAACUACAGCUUGUGGUCCAAACCUGGCCUGUGGCCUGUUUUUGUAAAUGAAGCUUCAUGGGAACACAACCAUGUUCACUCACUUUCUUACUGUUUGUGGCUGCUUUCACACUACAAUAGCAGCACCAAGUCAUUUCGUUACAAGAGAUCAUAUGGCUCAUAAAGCCUCAAAUAUUUACUAUCUGGUCCUUCACAGAAAAAGUUUGUGAACCCUGAUCUAAAAUAUGGCCAAGCAGCUAUAUAACUAAGCUCAUGGUCAUCAAUGCCACUCAAGGUGUGCUUCAUGGACCAGUUUGGUCCACAAACCAUUUGUUCGUGGUUAAGUACAGAAACUCAGAAUGUUUAUGACCUUUAUAACACUUUGAUGUGUUGUGAUAUCCAAGCGCAUGAUUUCAGAUUUUACGGAUGUGUUGAUUCACAACAGAUUGGAAAUUUAAAAAAGCCCAGUCCUUCCUACUCAAAUGGAAUGUGGUGUUUUAUCAUGAGGUUUUGUUAUAGUGGUAACUUGGUAAGACAUGUUCAUGUGGCUUCAGAUGGGAACAUCUGGGGGCCCAUCAGGUGGGAGUGACAAACAAAUCCUGAGAUUGCAAGUGACCUGGGAAGGUUAAUGAGUGAGCACAUUAAUAACGUCAUGCAAAUGGAUUUUACGUACAGAUGGAUGGGCCAGCCACAGUUCACUUAUCAGCUAGUACAGUUGUAAUGUGGUGUUUCAUAUCUGAGAGAAGGCAGCCACAUUAGGAUGUUAAGAGUGCCUCACAUACAUAUAUGAAUGAAUUUCCUUUUGAAAUAAAUGUAUUUUAAGUCGAUAAGUCAUCUUCUCUGAAGAGUGAGCCAACAACUUUCCUGGAAAUGUAGCAAAACAACAGUUCUAUGAUCAGCUUUGUCGUAUGUAUGCAUAAGGAAAAACAAAACAAAACAAAAAAAACAACAACUGCAGACUGAUUUUUUCCUUUUCUGUUUUGGCAUCGGAUCCAAAUAGUAAAGCCUGCCAGAAAAAACAGACAAAAUCUCAGGGACAACAAUGCCCAUUAUGUGUGGGAUAGUUGCUGCCAGACUGUGAUUGCUGGCCAGACGUUAACCCCUCUGGUGUCUUAUGGAGGGGUUUGAAUCCAGACACUCUCAGAAUUUUACAGGUACUCGUGAUGUGAGACCAGAUGAUUUGUAAUGAUUUUUGUAAUAAAGGACUAUUGUGAGAAGGAAGCAUGAGUCAAAGGCCACAUCUCCAUGUUUCCUGAAUGCUGUCAUGACUCAGCCUGGUAGGCAGACAUCACCAUGAUCUCCUUUGUGUUCCCCUUUGUGGGCCUGCCUGGUCAUGGGCGAGAGGUACCUGCCCCAGCUGUGUUUUCACCUCAUUAUCAGAAAAGGAGAGUGGUAAAUUCUGUACUUAUGGCAAAGGUCCUCACAGAGAAAACUGUGUGGGUUUCUAGAAUCCACUACCUAUAGUAAAGCUUCCAGAAAGAAGACUCAUUACGAACUCUCUUGUGAUCACCUUCUUUUUCUCUGAUACACCUCCCAUAGGCAGUCUAUAGCUCAUUUUGAGACUUCAGAUAAGCAGAGACCAACGCAGUUUACAACAGGAGGAUGACAGUAUGUAUAUUUCAUUUGUUCUUUAACUUCAUUCUUCAAUUCAUAUUUAUUGAUAGUCUACUGUGGGGUGGCCAGGAACAUCAAAUUAAUUAAAAUUAUUAUGUUGUUGUUGUUGUUGGGUGUUGUUGAGUUGAUUUUCAGCUCCUAAGCACUCCAUGUACAGAGAACUGCCCCAUAGGACUUCCAAGGCUGUAACCUUUACAGAAGGAGCCCUGGUGGUGAAAUAGUUAAGCACUGGACUGCUAACGGAAAAGUUGGUGGUUUGAACCCACCAGCCUGUCCGCAGGAGAAAAGACCUGGUGAUCUUCUCUAGUAAAGAUUAAAAGAUCACCAGGUCUCUGGUAAAGAUUAAAAAAAAAGAUUACGGGCUAAGAAAUGCUAUGGGGCAGUUCUACUCUGUCCUAUAGAGUUGCUAUAGGGUCACUAUGAAUCAGAAUCAAAUCAACGACACACAACAGUCUUUAUGAAAGCAGAUUUUCAGGUGUUUCUCUCUCGGAGCAGCUGGGUGGGUUUGAAUUGCCAACCUUUCUGGUAGUACCCAAACACUUAACCUUUGGGCCGCCAGAUUUCCUUCAUUAUACAGGUAAUUAUAGCUACCAUUUAUUGAGAACGUAUUGUAUGCCAGCAUUAUGCUAAAUGUUUUACAUAUACAUAUUUUAAUUCAUUUAAUCCUUUCAUAAAUUUUAUGAAGUAGCCCAAGUUUACCUAUUAGUAAAUUGAGUCACAGAAAGCUCAAGGACACACAGCUAGUCAAUAUCAGAGCUAAGGUUCAAAUCCAGGUCUGUCUGACACAAAAGCCAUUCCCUUAUUCACUUUGCUAAAUUACCUUUCCAAAGAUGACUUAAAAAAAUAAAUAAAGAAGGCAUUAUACCUACUCUUGGGGUUCAUAUUCUGGCUGGUCAAAAAGGCAUGUAAUGCAGAAUGAAAAAUAGCUAUAAUAUAUAUAAAAUGCCACGAUUAAUUCUGGUGGAGGAUGGGAAAAGGUGGGAUAGGGUAGAGCAAGGCCUCACAGAGACAGCAUUACUUGACCUAUGCUUGCAUGUAGUGUGACAGUCACUUGACAUACAGAGAAAGGGGGAGAAAGGAAAGGGCAGAGGAAGGGGAGAGGAGUGUAGACAGAGGAGAGAAGAGGAGAAGAAAGAAAUCAGCUGGGCACCCCUUUGUUGGGUAGAAGAGACCUGGACUGAUUCAGGGGUGAGGAGACAUCAGAGUUCCUGGGUCGUACAAGCAGUUAAUGCACUCGGCUGCUAACCAAAAAGCUAGAGGUUCGAAUCUGCCAAGAGGUGUUUCAGAAGCAAGGCUUAGUGAUCUCUUUCCAAAAAAAUCAGCCAUUGAAAACCCUUCUAAAUUGUUGUACUGGUGAAUGUUUGGGUGUAUAUUUUCACCACAAUUAGAAGAAAGAAAAAGAAAACCCUAUGGAGCACAGUUCUACUCUGGCACACAUCGGGUAGCCGUGAGUUCGAAUUGACUAGACAGUGUCUUGGUCAUCUAGUGCUGCUGUAACAGAAAUACCAGAAGUGGAUGGCUUUAACAAAGAGAAGUUUAUUCUCUCACAGUCCAGUAGGCUACAAGUCCAAAUUCCAGGCGCUGACUCCGGAGGAAGGCUUUCUCUCUCUGUCAGCUCUGGAGGAAAGUCCCUGUCAUUAGCCUUCCCUUGGUCUGGGAGCAUCUCAGCAUAGGAAUCUCAGGUCCAAAGGACAUUCCCUGUUCCUGGCACUGCUUUCUUGGUGGUAUGAGGUCCCCAUGUCUCUCUGCUAGCUUCUCUCUUUUAUAUCUCAAAGGAGAUUGGCUUAAGACAUGAUCUAAUCUUGUAGGUCUCAUCAAUAUAACUGCCACUAAUCCAUCUCAUUACAUCAUAGUGAUAGGAUUUUCAAUACACUGGGAAAUCACAUCAGAUGACAAAAUGGUAGACAAUCAUACAAUACUGGGAAUCAUGACCUAGCAAAGUUGACAGAUAUUUUGGAGGGCAAAAUUCGAUCCAUGUGACAGACAGCAACUGGAAAGGUAAGGUAAAGGAGAAAUCUGACUUACAGAGUGAUUCGACCAUACAAAUCCAAGGAACUAGUCAGUGGGAAAAUUUUUCAAUAUUGUGUCCUCCGUUAUCAUGUACCUAUCUUUCUUCUCCUUAUUCUUCUUUGAUCAUUGUCGUGCCUUACCAAAAGGGGAAACAGCUUAGGUAAAUUGCAGGUGAUAACAACUGCUGUGAAAACCACAAGAAAAAUUGACAAAGGCAGCCCUCCCCCUCUGCUUUCUAUAAUAAGGCACACUUAUGGCAUCACUUUAUUGUAGGGGUAACGGUAUCCAUCAGCCUAGAAGUGAAAAACCCAGGCUUUGAUGGCAUCCUGGUAUUGCAUAGAGAGAAUAAGCAACUGAUAUAUUCGAUUCUCUUCAGUUGUAUUGUUUCACCCUGAAGGGCAUGGCUGCCUGAUUCUUUCAUUGAAGAUAGAGGAGUGUAGCAUUCACAGACAACCCUAGCGAGGAUGACAGUGACAAAGGCAAUGUGCUAUCUGAGCACUGUUAAGUAAAGUGACCAUGUAUUCAGCCAAGGGAGGCCUUUCCCUAGCCAGAGGAACAAUCUGGUUUCCAGAGGGAUGUAGAACAACGACAUCACAGCCAGAUUGUUCUUAGCCUUUGGCUGCCCUGUUAGCACUAACGAAAAGGAGUGAGCGUAAAUGUGACCUGCCUUGUUGCCACCCAGAGUAUCACAAUUCUUUCAGGUUUCACUUUGAGAAAUUGAGAUCUACCUUUGAAACUCUUGGUGUUAAGAUUCCGGGCUACAAUGAUCACUGGGAUGUUCAUUUGCAAUAAUUCUGACUUUUGUGUAUGUCUUAAAAAGGGAUCCAAGGGAUUUCCUAUAUUCAUUACAAAGCUCUCCCAGGCUUCACAUGUUCCUAUAAAAUGCCUCUGACAUAUAACUUCUUACAGAUUUCAAAAAUGAUGUCUGGUCUCUAGGCUUUAAAGUUCAUCAUGUGACUGAAUAUGAUUAUGGGGUAUUUAUGUGAAUCUUUGUCUAUUGUAUCAAAAGAGCAUGAAAGAAAAUGCCCAUCAUUAAAGCCCCAACGUGAUUGGAUUGGCAUGGGGAAAGGGGAUGGGGCUGGCAUGGGAGAGAGGAUCUGAUUCUGGGAUUUCAUGAAAUCGGAAACAAUAGGACAGCUGCUUUUCCAUAAACAGAUUAUUAUUAUUUCUACCUAGACAGCUUGAUAGCAGCCAUUAUCUCCUUUCUGGGUGUCUUAUCAAGUUCCGGCUGUGUGCUGCAUGGAUGAUAAGGAAUGACAAAUGUCACCCAUGGGAUUUCCAAGGAUUAUUUCCAUGCACUGCUGUUCAGCAACAGCCAAUCCCUUAGAACUGAGAAGUAGUCCUAUUGUUCACGCUGGACGGUUGCUAUUCUGACUACACUAAGAGAGUAGAAAGAGGACGCAGUUGCCAUUGUGUGGAAGAUUGAAAUUUCAUUACUCUCAGCGAAAGUUCAAGCAGUCUUGAUUUUGAAAAGCAGAAUCGUCUUGGAAUAUCUUUGAAGGAGGAGAAGGCAAGUGAAGGAAAGAAGAAUGUAAAGAGCUCUGAGCUCUUCAGAACUAUGAACCCACUGCCGUCGAGUCAAUUCUGACUCAUAGCGAUCCUAUAGGACAGAGCAGAACUGCCCCAUAGAGUUUCCAAGGAGCGCCUAUGAGAGAGUAUAAAAAGAAAGAAAGGUAUACUUCUUCCAAACACUGAAACAUAAAAUGCAAGGCUUAUAAGCCUCAAAGGAAUUGAGUAGUAUCACUUAAGCCAUGAUUUCUGGUGAUCCAGUUGUGUAAUGUGAAGACUCCGUUCCAUAUAAUGCUCAUCAGAAAAUAGCUAAUUUACUGAAAAAUUUUUAAAUCAGUUGUCUGUUUCGUAUUAAGUUCUUGAUUAACAUUAACCAGUUGUUGUUGACAGAUCCUUUUUAUCCUGAAUGAAAACUAAAUGUUUUAUUUAUAGAGGUAGAUGUGCUGGCAUUAAACACUUGAGAAAAAAAAAAUACAAUUUUAUUUUAUUUUUGUUCCAGUAUCUCAGUUUCUCCUAGAGAAAAGACUGUAUUAGGUAAAACAAAACAAAAGUGUGUGACUAGCCUAUAUUGCAUUCAUACAGAAUUUCCAACAAAGUGUUGAGAGUGCUUGAGUAUACUUUAGAGGCUCACAGUUUUUGGUUCGUGUUGCUGUAAGUUGCUUGGAAGAGGGUCUGAUCGAACUUCUUCAACAUUUUAAAUCACGUGCUACUCUGGAAUUGGAAGUUCAAAAGAACAAGGUACUUUGCUCUUAAACCAACAACUUCCUAAAUUAGCUUCGAGCCAUGGAAUCAUUAAGAUGGGAAGUGGGAGGAUGUUGGGAAGGUAAAGGGCAAAGAGAGGGCACAGAGGAAGGAAGGAGGAUUUGGGAAGAGAGCAAGGGGGUUUUGACUCCCUUUUGGAGUGUCAGCUCCAGGACAGUAAGGGCCUGCUCCUUAUGUUUCUAAGGUACCUUAGUGACCCUAUAGGACAGAGUAGGAUUGCCCCAUAGGGUUUCCAAGGAGUGGCUGGUAGAUUUGAACUACCAACCUUUUGGUUAGCAUUGGUAGCUCUUAACCACUGUGCCACCAGGGCUCUAAGAUACCUAGUACAGAGCAAGUAGUCAGGAGAUAGUUGUUAAAUUAAGUAGUGAGAGGGUGAGAAAUGGAAGAGGAAGGUAUAGAGAAAAAAUGGUUUUAGUGUUAAGAUAUGCAAAGGACCAUUCCCCCAACUAAGCAAAUUAUUUUAGGUUUUUUGGCCUUGAAAUAUUUAUUAGGAAGCCUAGAGCUUCUCCAGCUUUAAUGUAUAUAUGAAUUACCUGGGAAUCUUGCUAAAAUUCAGAUCCUGAUUCAGCAGGCGUUUCAGUGAAGCCCCCAGGGAAUGUUGAUACUGCUGGUUCACGGACUAUACUUUGAAAAACUACAUAAUAGAGUAAGUAACACAAGGGGAUUAGGCUGGGAGUCAUGAGGUCUGAGUUCUAAUCUCUGAUAUCAAUCAUCUGUAUUUUCUAGCCAGGUGAUUAGUUUUCCUAGCCUCAGUCUCCCCAAAUAUAUAAUGAGUAUGUUUUUUUUAUGUUGCAUCUACACAAUUUCUUUUUUUUUUUGUAGCACUAAUACUUUAAAAUAAUAGUAAUAAACAAGACUACUUAGAGAAUGCUCAGUCUAACUUUGUGUCUAGAAUGCCUACUAAGUAUCAAUUAUUUUCUUCCAAAGUUCUACAGGUAAUUUGGCAUAGCUGAACUGUGAACCGUAUUUUCUGGUUCCCUGAUUCCUAGUAUAGUAAUUUUCCCUUUAUUCAUUUCUUUUAUCACUAUUAUUAUUAUUUUAAUGGAAUGGCUACAUUUGCCUGAUACAGUGCUAAGUGUUAGGAAUAUAAAGAUGGGUACAUUAUUAUGUUUUAUUACUAAGUUUCUCAACUGAUUACCUGAGAUCUUUCCAUGUUACAAGGUGAUAACCAAUUAACCUAAGCAAAAAUAUUAAAAAUAUAUGUAUAUUAGUAGGUGUUAAUAUGCUAGACCUGCCUCCUCUGUGAUAUAACAUAUUAAUGGCCACAGUGGGUUGAUUGAAAACAUGGCUUCAAUUCUUCGACUCUCCAUGUCCACUCUCUUUUCUGUGGGUUUGCAGCUUGUUUUAUCAAGAGGUGGAAUUUAUUUUCUACUUCUUGACUUUGUGCUGGUCUUGUGACUUGCUUUGCCCAAUAAAAUGCAGUGGAAGGGAAAAUGUCCCAGUUCUGAUCCUAGGCCCUAAAAGGCCCUGCCGGUUUUUGUUUCCUCCUUUGGACCCAAACUGCUGCCAUAAGAAUUAGUCUGGGAUAGCCUCCUGGAGGAUGGAAGAACACACACACACACGCAAAAAAACAAACCCACUGCCGUCGAGUCGAUUCUGACUCAUAGCGAACCUAUACACAGGGAGGGACCAAUGGUCUCAGCUGAAGCUAACCAACUUACAGCUAGCCAAACCGCAGAUACACAGGAAAGCAAGGGCAACAGAGUCACUCAUCCCAGUCACAGCUGACCACAGAUGCACAAGUGACCUUAGUUGGGACCAGGCAUACCACUGGCUGAUCCAUAAACUUUUGACCAAUAAUGCAGGUUAAUUAUUUUAAGUCCCUCAGUUUUGGGGCACUUAGUAUGCAGCGUAGGAGCCCUGGUGGCGCAAUAGUUAAGAAGUUCAGCUGCUAACCAAGAGGUCAGCAGUUUGAACCUACUAGCUGCUCCUUGGAAACCCUAUGGGGCACUUCUACUCUGUCCUAUAGGGUCGCUAUGAGUCGGAGUCAACUUGGCCGCAUCAGGUGUAUGCUGCAUAAAGCAUAGCUACUAGUAUAAUCGCCUGCUGGACACAAAGCUUUGACUUAGAUAAAUGACUCUAGUUUGUUUUUUUUUUUUUCCUGGAAGAUAACAGGUAAAAUAUUGUGGGGGUGACAUGGUUUUUGCCACCUCUUGCAUAUUUUUGAGCUACUUCUCACUUAUAAAAGGGGGAAGUUAGCUUGUAUUAUUUCUAUUUUGCAGAUAACUGAAAGCGAUGCACAACGAUGAGAGGAGAUGCUAAGUCUAGAGACUUCUAUUGCAGAAUUCUCUUCUCUAAAGGAGGCAUACAAGACAGAGCUAAGAGAUCAGCUACACUGCUUGAAGCUCUGUCCACUGGGAGAAUUUCACUUCACAAGACCUCACCUUGAAGACAUCAUUAAAAGAGGCUGUAGUGUGGCCAAAGCCUAUUUGUGGCGUGUUUCCACUUAUGAACCUACAUUCCAGAGACUGAAAUCCACACUUACAGAACAUAUGGAGAAGAUCAUUCUAGGAGAUGUAGUUCCCAGAUUGUCCUCUGCUGUGCACACUUGACAAGCCAGGUGUGGCAAUAGAGAAUCUUGCAUAAUCCUUAAGUGUUUACGCUGGGGAAAAGUAUGAAAAUAAAUGAGCCGGACAUUUCCAUCAGUUGAGGUCCACUCAGAGAAACAGAAACCACUCGAGUAAUUUCAGUGUGGUAAAUAACAGAGAGUUUGUUAAUAAGGUGCAGGAGGACAGAAAAUGCAAAAAGAGAACACUAGAAGGGAGAUACUACCACUCCUAGUGCUGGAGAAACAAAAGGAAGAAGCUGAGAUGAUGUGAACCUAGAAGCUUGGUGGAGGGCCCACAGAAUUGGCACUCUGAAUUCCAAAGAGGGUUGCCACCUGCCUGGCUUGCUGUUGGUAUCCUAGAAGCUUGGAGGACGGACCUCACAUAAUGCUGCUCUGAGGAGAGGUUAGUGCUCAGCUGUCGCUGGUACCUCAGAAGCUCUGGAGAGAGGCUCUGUGGAGGCAGGACUCAAACACGUAAGGAGCGGGCACUGUCUAGCUGGUUGUUGUGAACUGAAUUGUGCCCUCCCUAAAAUAUGUGUUGGAAUCCUGACUCUUCCAUCUGUAGAUGUAACGUAAUCACUUUCUAUGAUCUAAUCUAAUCUAUUCAAUCAGUUGAGGUCAUACCCAUGUAGGGUGGAUCCUAAACCUAGUCACUUCUGAGUUAUAUACAGAGCAGUAUAGGCACACAUGCACACAUAGAGGAAGACAGAUGCCAUGUGAGGAUUGCCAAGGAGCCAAGGAAUGCCUGGGGCUACUGACAAGAAGCUGACACAGCCAAGACCCUGAUUUUAGUCUCUAAAACUGUGAAAAAAUAAAUCUCUGUUCUUUAAAGCCACUGCUUGUGUAUUUGUUUUACAGCAACUCUAGGGAAAUAAGAUAUUUGGUGCUGGCACCUAUGAAGGGAAAAAUGAAACUUUUAUUAGGAAUGACAAAAAACUGCCAGGGCAAAGGGCCGUGGUGGGUGACCUGACAGGAAAAAUAAUCGCAAAUGAACAAGUCACUCUUCUCCUGCCACCCGGUCUCCCUUCAAAUUUCUCCUAUUGAUGGAAUCCAACAACAGGCCUUCUGACAAAGGAGACAUGUCCUUUGCAGAAACAUCAUCACAAAGCUUAGUAUACCCACUGCCAUCAAGUCGAUUCCGACUCAUAAUGACCCUAUAGGACACAGUAGAACUACCCCAUAGAGUUUUCAAGGAGCGCCUGGCGGAUUUGAACUGCUGACCUCUUGGUUAGCAGCCAUAGCACUUACCCACUUAGUAUAGAAGGCUGGAUUUGGAGCCUAAUACUCAGCAUAUCAUUCAGGGGAAGAAGUUCGGUAAACAGCAACACAAUAAACCAAAAGGAAGUAAAGGGUGGAAAUAGUAAAGGUAAGAGCAGAAAGAAAUAAAAUAGCACACACCGGUUUGUUGAGAAGAAUACUAACACCACCAAAACUCUGGCAAGUCUGAACAAGAACAAUGGAGAAAGAAGAAACAAUAUUACAAAACAAAUAUGUAACUAAGGGUGCAGCAAGAUAAGAAUACAGUAAGAAUAUUAAGAACUUGCUGUCAAUAAGUUUGAAAACUUAGGUAAAAUACGCAUAAUGUAGAAAAAUAUAAUAAAUAAAGCUGACAGGUAGAGAUGCAGAAACUGGGAUGUUCCUAAAAGAUUAAUGAAACUUAAGCUGUAGUUAAAAAUAUUCCCCCGCACAGAAAGGAUGGGAACAACGGGGUCUUGCCCUUUAAAAAAAAUACGUAAUUAUUAUUGUUGAUUUUGUGCCCUUGAUUUCUUUAAACAUUUCAUACAUAACUAUUUUAUAUUCUGUAUGUAAAAAAAAAAAAAAUUUUUUUUUUUAUGUAAUAUUCUCAGUAUCUACAAUCCUUGUGUGUGAGGCUGUUUAUUGUUGCCGUUGUUAGUUGACAUUGAGUCAGCUGCAGCUCUCGACAGCUUUACGUUUAACAGAAUGACACGUUGCCUGGUGUGAUGGUGAAGAUUGUGUGUCAGCUUGGCUGGGCCAUGAUUUUCAGUGUUUAUAUGUGAUUAUUCCCGUGAUGGGAUCUACUGUGAGUAGCCAACUGGUUGGAAGGGAGUUUCCUUGGGGGUGUGGCCUGUAUCCAACUAUAAGCAGAUGUUCUGGCUUUUUGCUCACUCUGAAUCCUGUGGCUGCCUCCUGUUCCUCCGACCUUUGGUUCUUGGGACUUGAGCUAUCAGGUUGCCUGCUAAUCUUGGGAAUCCUUGAUCUUCACAGCCUGUUAGCAAGAGCCCUGCUCUUCAACCUGCUAAUCUUGGGUUCACCAGCCCCUGCGGCUAUGUGAAUCAGGAGAAAACUAUUCUGAUUCACGGACUUGGGACGUUCCAGCAUCUACAAUCACGUGAGCCCUUUCCUUGAUAUAAACUCUAUGUAUAUUUAUAUAACUUACUGGUUUUACUUCCCUAGAGAACCCAGCCUAAGACACCUGGUUCUGCACCAUCUUCAUGAUCUUUGGUAUGUGUGAACCCAUUGUUGUGGCUAUUAUGUCCAUCCAUCUCAUUAAGGAUUUCCCCCAUUUUCAUUGGCCCUCUACUUUAUCAAGCAUGAUUCUAGCCAUUGAACUUUUCUGAUGAUCUGUCCAAAGUAAAUGAGUCAAAGUCUAUAAUUAUUGUUUCUCAUGAUAGCUAUGUUUUUUGUGUACUUGAUAUCCUUUGAUUUUGAACUUACUGAUUGAUUUUAAUAUGGGUGAAUUCCUUGCACCCAAAUAAAUGUAUCUCUUUUCCAGGGAGGGUUUUCUUCGAUGUCUGCUUUUGCCACUGACUUGGGACCAUUUCAGACCUCCUUCAGUUUCUGGGCUCAACAUUAGAGCACCAGGCUUGGCUUCUCCAUCUGUGCACUAGCCCUAGGCUCAGUGUCCCAAUUAUAAUGGUGUUAUCAGGAUCCAUGCUCAGGGCAACUUGCCCCACCAGCUUCCUGUUGCUCCAGUCUGAGUGCCCCUCUAGUUCUGCUCUAGCUAAACUUUUUUGGGAAAGCCAUGAAGAUUUCCCUUCAUUUUGCAAAUUGACUGUAUCUCAAAGAAUAUAGCCUGUGUAUUUUUUUUUUUUUUUU